rnacentral:snRNA from 1 species
GUCUCUUCGGAGACAUCUGAUAAAUUUGAACGAUGCAGAGAAGAUUAGCAUGGACCCCGCACA